GACGAACGCUGGCGGCGUGCUUAACACAUGCAAGUCGAACGGAAAGGCCCUGCUUUUGUGGGGUGCUCGAGUGGCGAACGGGUGAGUAACACGUGAGUAACCUGCCCUUGACUUUGGGAUAACUUCAGGAAACUGGGGCUAAUACCGGAUAGGAGCUCCUGUUGCAUGGUGGGGGUUGGAAAGUUUCGGCGGUUGGGGAUGGACUCGCGGCUUAUCAGCUUGUUGGUGGGGUAGUGGCUUACCAAGGCUUCGACGGGUAGACGGCCUGAGAGGGUGACCGGCGACAUUGGGACUGAGAUACGGGCCAGAUUGCUACGGGAGGCAGCAGUGGGGAAUAUUGCACAAUGGGGGGAAGCCGGAUGCAGCAACGCCGCGUGCGGGAUGACGGCCUUCGGGUUGUAAACCGCUUACGCCUGUGACGAAGCGUGAGUGACGGUAAUGGGUGAAGAAGCACCGGCUAACUACGUG
rnacentral:rRNA from 1 species